CACAUGCUGAUUACUAGCACAAAAGCAUGCUACUAUUGAGCAAUUGCUACUUAGUAGCAUGUGUGUCUAAACAUUGCUAAUAAUGAGCAUGCUCAUUUUGAGUUCGCUCAAAAAUCAACGGUCGUGCGAUUUUUGGUCAUGCUACCUGCAGCGCGGGUGGAGGGGGCGUGCUUUUAGCGCGUGUGAACAGUGCCCCUAGUGUAAAUUUUGUCGAUAGCGAAACGUGACAUACGCGUUUGCGUUAAGUCUCAUUUUGUAUGGGUUUUUGAACAGCGCGCCAAGCGGGACGUUUUGGAAAGUCAAAAAUCUCUUACAAAAUGACACUUAACGCAAACGCGUACGUAAUGUUUCGCUGUCGAAAAUAUUUACACUAGGGGUACUGGGCCCUUAUUCGACAUGCUAAAAGUGACGUUUCGUGUUGAUUUCCAUUUGAUGUGGGAAAUAUUGUGACUUGUCGAAUUGCUAUCAUCAACACCUGUCAGUGAACAAUAUCCACACUAGAGGCGGGGCGUUGUACCGGAAUAGUUUUUGGAACAGGUUUUUUGUAAUAGACUACUUUUAGCUUGUCGAGUAUUUAAAAGUACGAACUUUGAUUUUGAAAUAAAACAAAUAUGAAACUUUCAUCACCCCGUACCUCCAUUCUUACCGUUACUUUAAGCAAAACAAAAUUUUGUUAACAGACGGUCGUCUGGGCGUCUGUUGUAUCUAAAAAUAGUGUAAUAAUAUAUAAUAAAAAUAUGUCAAUGGAUUCAUAGCCUUCACUCAAAACGUCAUAAUAUUUCCGACCCCUACCGAAAUAAUAAGUCGAUAUUUGCAUAAAUAAUCCUUAUUUGUAAGACGCCUAAGACCGGCAAAUACGUAAACUGCCUAUUGGGGGUCAUACUCGUAAAAGUAGUAUUUUAGACGUACUUUUGGUACGAGUAACAGAGACGUACUUUUGGUACGCAGUCCCAGCUCUAGUCAGGAUUCUAGUUGUCAAAUAUAAGCGUGUCGAAUACGUAUUAGUUAACUGUCAAAUGAAAUUAGAUCAACGGUAGACUUUUUUGUCGAUGGGUAUGGCUGCCAUGUUUGGAUUUAUGACAUUUGAAAGGGGAUCCUAAGGCAGAGAGUAGUUUUUUCUGUACGAUUUUGAUUCUUCUACUCGACGCAAGAUGGAGUUAGCUGCCAAAUUCCGAUCUUGGCGUUAUAAAAAUAAACCGCAAGAACCAUGACGAUGACAUGCAGUUGCGUCGAUGUAGAUCUAUCAUAAAACGUACAUGUGACAAUUGUCCAGGAUUUAAAAAAAUCUUGACAAUUAAUAAAUGUCAAAAAGAAAACUGAUUUAUUAUAAAAAUACAAAUUAUAUAUAAAGUUUGAUUUUAAAACCAAUGGUCGUGGGUCCUAACCCCGGCUCUUAACAAUGAACAUCUUGUAACUUGUGUGCAAAAUAUCAUUUAACUUUUACCAAUUACUUUUCGGUUAAAUAAAAUAUCACGAGGAAGAAGUAGCCCCAAUAAGGUGUUAUCAAGAAAAAAGGUCUUAACAGAUUUAUGAAUAGGCAUUGGCAGAAAAACAGGCGUCCGACCACGCAUAAUGGAGGAUUCUAUUUCUUUUAUCAUGUAGCUAUAUCUAUAUGACCUCUGCCGCCGACUUUUUCACCCGUUGGCGCCUGUGCCCAAAUCCUUCUAAGACCGAAGUUUGCUGUUUCCACCUGUCCAAUAAGCUGGCACAUAAGACAGCCUUACAACAUGACUAUUCCCCAAAGUAUCUCGGUGUUACACUGGACAGAAGCCUGACAUACCGAUUGCACAUAGAGAAGCUAAAAAGUAAAAUAAGGACCAGGAUAUUUUAAUUACGAUACAUAAAUAACUACUAAAACAUGUUUUCUGCAAGAAAUUAGUUAUCUUAUUAUAUUAUAAAAUAUUUAUUAUCCA